rnacentral:rRNA from 1 species
GACGAACGCUGGCGGCGUGCUUAACACAUGCAAGUCGAACGGAAAGGCCCUGCUUUUGUGGGGUGCUCGAGUGGCGAACGGGUGAGUAACACGUGAGUAACCUGCCCUUGACUUUGGGAUAACUUCAGGAAACUGGGGCUAAUACCGGAUAGGAGCUCCUGCUGCAUGGUGGGGGUUGGAAAGUUUCGGCGGUUGGGGAUGGACUCGCGGCUUAUCAGCUUGUUGGUGGGGUAGUGGCUUACCAAGGCUUUGACGGGUAGCCGGCCUGAGAGGGUGACCGGCCACAUUGGGAUUGAGAUACGGCCAGGACUGCUGCGGGGGGCAGCGGUGGGGAAUAGUGCGCGAUGGGCGGAAGCCUGGUGCAGCAACGCCGCGUGCGGGAUGACGGCCUUCGGGUUGUAAACCGCUUUCGCCUGUGACGAACCGUGAGUGACGGUAAUGGGUAAAGAAGCACCGGCUAACUACGUG